rnacentral:sRNA from 1 species
AGGAAUCGUGUGCCCAACCAUGGCAAAUAC